rnacentral:rRNA from 1 species
UUUUAUUUGAGAGUUUGAUCCUGGCUCAGGAUGAACGCUGGCGGCGUGCCUAACACAUGCAAGUUGAGCGAUUUACUUCGGUAAAGAGCGGCGGACGGGUGAGUAACGCGUGGGGAACCUACCCUGUACACACGGAUAACAUACCGAAAGGUAUGCUAAUACGGGAUAAUAUAUUUGAGAGGCAUCUCUUAAAUAUCAAAGGUGAG